ACUGGGGUAAGUCAUAUACGACCAGCUCCCUCAAAACUCCCCCAGGAUCGGAAGAUAGCAAGGGUAUGAGGUUGUAGCGGUGCGAUAUAUGUAGCUUGCCCU
rnacentral:SRP_RNA from 1 species